AGUAUUUUGGGAUUGCGUGUGUCUUCGCAUGGUGUGUGAGCGGAAAUACAGCCUACGGUCGUAUUCAGCAGAUGCCAGUAGAAGGCAGCACAGAUGACACAGAGGAAGGAUCGACUUUAGAUAUCAGGACCACAAUAACCUCGGUGGACAAUAAUUUACUUGGAAAAGAUAACAAGACAAUCCCAAAAGAAGAUGUUUACUGCCUGGCUCCACAUCCAUGACUCCAGAUCACACACUAACACACAACAUUCAUAUGGGUCUAAGUUCUAUAUUUUCUUUUCUUUUGACAGUAAACGUACCUAUUUUUAUGACAGAAUGUGACUUAAACUUUAAUUAUGGGUAUAGUUAUCACGUGAAACAUUUAUUACUGAAUCUAUUAACCUGCCGUUUGGACGAUCUGCGCUGUGUUGCACUGUUAUUACCUUUAUAUAUUUAUUUACUUUUCUUUUAAUUGAACUCAAUAACAUCAGGUCUUUCACCACACUAUGUGAUUAUUUUACUUUGUUUUCACAUAAAUUAAUACAAGGUGUAAUGUAAAGUAAUGUGUUCUGGCUUUAGUUUUGUUUACAUUAAUGCUGAAUUAAUUUUUAUCUCACCUACAUCUACUGUAUAUGUGUUUAAAGAAGGAAUAAGAACUAUUAGUUUAAUGUAAGUAUACUGUACACAGACAGCACAUGUGACAGAAGACCUUAUUGCUCCGUGUGUAAAGAAGAAUAUGAUGUGCUUUCUGCAGAAAACAGUACUUCAGGUUCUGUAAUGACAAUCACAUCAGCAUUUCCUCUUUGUGUUAUCAGUUUUGAAAUAA